AUUGAACGCUGGCGGCAUGCCUUACACAUGCAAGUCGAACGGCAGCACGGGAGCAAUCCUGGUGGCGAGUGGCGAACGGGUGAGUAAUAUAUCGGAACGUGCCCAGUCGUGGGGGAUAACGCAGCGAAAGCUGUGCUAAUACCGCAUACGAUCUACGGAUGAAAGCGGGGGAUCGCAAGACCUCGCGCGAUUGGAGCGGCCGAUAUCAGAUUAGCUAGUUGGGGGGGUAAAGGCCCAGCAAGGCGACGAUCUGUAGCUGGUCUGAGAGGACGACCAGCCACAGUGGCACGUAGACACGGUCCAGACUCCUACGGGAGGCAGCAGUGGGGAAUUUUGGACAAUGGGCGCAAGCCUGAGCCAGCAAUGCCGCGUGCAGGAUGAAGGCCUUCGGGUUGUAAACUGCUUUUGUACGGAACGAAACGGCCCUUUCUAAUACAGGGGGCUAAUGACGGUACCGUAAGAAUAAGCACCGGCUAACUACGUGCCAGCCGCCGCAGUAAAAC
rnacentral:rRNA from 1 species